AAGGAUUUAAGUUAAAAAAACUAAUAGCCUUCAAAGCCUUAAAUGAUAACAUAAAUCAAUCCUUA
rnacentral:tRNA from 1 species